rnacentral:rRNA from 1 species
CUGCGCCACAAGUGGCAAUCAGUAUUAUUGGGCCUAAAGCGUCCGUAGCAGGUUUUGUAAAUCUCUUGUGAAAUUGUUAAGCUCAACUUAACAACGUGCAAGAGACACUGCAAAACUUGGGACCGGGAGGAGUCAGAGGUAUUUUGUGGGGAGCGGUAAAAUGCUAUAAUCCACGAAGGACCACCUAUGGCGAAGGCAUCUCACCAGAACGGAUCCGACUGUGAGGGACGAAAGCUAGGGGAGCGAACCGGAUUAGAUACCCGAGUAGUCC